UGUAGCUCAGUUGGUAGAGUAUGGCGCUUUUAAUGCCAGAGUUGUGGGUUUGAUUCCCGGGACCA
rnacentral:tRNA from 1 species